rnacentral:tRNA from 1 species
GGAGGAGCCGGCACGGCUACGGACACGCCGCUGGAAUCGGCGUACAGGCUCACACCUGUCGUGGGUUCGAAUCCCACCUCCUCCGC